GUUUCCGUAGUGUAGUGGUUAUUACGUUAGCUUUACACGCAAAAGGUCCCCUGUUCGAAACUGAGCGGAAACA
rfam:Danio rerio chromosome 8, GRCz11 reference primary assembly.